AGAGCUGCUGUAGGGGGCGGCUGUGUGGUCCUAGCUCCUUGCAUCUUUUUCUAGGCCCAUCGGCCUCGGGCCAGGAGGCAGGGGCGUUUUAGGCUCCGAAGUCUGAAGCCGGGAGGGCAGGAAAGGGAGACAGCAUUUAACCAAAAAAAGCCCUUGUGGAUAGUGCCUUAGUGCCUUUGGUCGUGAAGGAGGGAGGCCACCGGCGGGUUUAUGUGGCUUCUGCCCGAGACGGCCGUUUUUCCCGUUAUAAGCGGGGGAAGAUGAAAAUGGCCGCUGCGUCCCCGCGGUGUUGGGGGAGGGGAGCGAUAUCUUAUUUCGGCGUUGCUCUCCUGCGAAGGUCCGCCGCAGCCAUCUUGGGCUGGCGGGCUGGGCGCGCUGCCAGAGGCACAAAAUGGCGGAGAAGCAGCGCGGCAACGCGGGCCCGACCCGCCGCGGGCCGCGCUUCGUAAGGCAGCGUGGUGGGGUGCAAGGAGACAGACGACGUUCUUUUGGGUCUUUGGGCUGGUGUUCAGGUUAAUGAAGGACCGUCUUUGCCUCCACGGAAAGGAUGGAGUCUGGGAUGUCCUUGGGGCUUCUUAAGAUGGAAACUAAUCCGAGGCCGACUAAGUUCUGGGCCCGUUAGGUGGAGGGGAUUGCGUGAGGGCUUUGUGUUUGGCCUAAAUGAAGCGCUUUUCUCUGAUGCUGAAAGGGCUUCCCAGGCAAGAAUCUGUAUCAGUAUUCUAUUAGGACAGACCACAAAGUCGCUAAGAUGAUUUUGGGGACAUCGCAUUUCCACGGGAUUGUGAAGGAGAAAUUGGCGGGCAACCAUUUACGGCGCCGUUAUUUCCUUUGUUUUGAGGCGUUCUAAUACUUAGAACCACAGCGUGUAUUGGCUACAGUUUUCUUUCCCUUAAGUUUCCACCUUUUAAAGGUGUUCAGUGAGGGUUGGUUGAAUUGCGGGAACAAGACAGUUCUAGGGUUUAAACAGCAUACGUAGCUAGCUGGUCUGUGGGGCCUCUGGGUAUUAGAUUCGGAAAGCAUUGAAUGAUCCGAAGAUACGAGGCUUGCUAGAAUUAAGAGGAAUCUGUUAGAAGGGUAAUAGAAAAGCACCAUAGAAAUUGAUUUUUAAGGCUGUUAUGGGAAUAAUUUGUGUUUUUUUUUUUUUUUUUUUUAAAAACAAUUUGUUACCUAAGUUACCCCUUGUUGGUAAAGCUACCUUAAGAUCUGAAUAUGACUUAUCAGAAUGCUUUAAUAUUGUGGAUAUUGUCUGGAACUAGAACGUGACAUUUUCAAGCUGACAUUACAAGUGAUUUUAUAAGGUAAGUACUACCGGUUUUGCCAGAAGGUUGAAGAGGAAUUCAGGUGGUGGGGGAAGUGUUAAUGGGAUUUGCCUUACACAGCCUUUUUUCUUCUUUCUCUACAAUAAAACCCGAACGUAGGUGGUAAAUAUUAAUGCUUUCAUAGUUAUUUUGCCCAGGACAAGGGCAGAGCUACAGUUGUGUAUAUUUCUUGAGCUUUAGCAUUUUAUGUUGAUCAGUGUUUUUACAUAUGCGACUGUUUUCUUAACAAGGCAUGGUGACUGAUGUUUAGGAAUUUUAAGUGUUCUGACCCAGGUUAGUAUUGGGGGUGUGGGAUAUGUAGAAUUAGAUACUGAAAUCACUUAGUAUUGUUUUUAAACUGCAAACGAAAACAAGUUCUUCACUGUAGCAAAUUAUAGUCUUGAAAUUCCCCCAAAAUCUUUGCUUUGAAUUGGGUUUUGGAGGUUACAUUGAGAUUGAUGUUAUCAGCAUAGAUUGUUACCUGACGGUUUGGAUAAGGGGCCCCUUUUUCUCUUUAAUUUUUGUGGUUAGAAAUUAGGUUAAAAGGUAGUCUUCUGAAAAGUCAAAAGAUACUUACAUUUGCUUUUGUUGGGGAGUAUUGAAUGUUUUAUGAAUGUAAAUUUAACAGUCUGUGCUAUAUUUGCAAGAGAGUUUAUAAGCACGGGCCUACAACUAAUUUCAGAUGAUGGUUUUUUCCAGACACUAUUCUCCAGUUUUUGAGGAUUUAUCUAUCCAUUCACCCUUCUGGUAGACAGUUUGGCUGCCAGAAAAAAAUAUAGUCCUUAUUAUAUUGAUAUGAGCAUUGACCUUUCCAUAACAGGAUUAAUGAGUUUUUUUCUUUCCCUCUUUCCCUCCCAAUUUUUAAAAUAUUGCCUUGUCAGUCAACUGAAUGAGUUUGUGCAUGUUUAAUGUUAAAUGGAUUCUAGUUGUAUCCCCUAGAAACAUUUUAACAAAAAUUGUGUUGAUAGGACAAGUUUCUGUUUAUUUCUAACUAGGGUCUCUUAACUAAAUGUACAUAACAUUAGCCCAAGAGUUGGUCUUCUGGUUUUAUAAAGUAGCCACUUGAACUUAGCUGAGUUGAAAUAAAUCUAAUAUUUAUAAUGAUUUAGUAAUGGUUUUGUUCUUAGACUAUAAGAGAAGGAACCAGGUUAGGAAGGGGUAAUGAAAUAACAGCAGGAAGGUAUCCACAUUGAAAACAGUUGUGAUAGCUAGACCUAUGGCCUCUAUUCUUGUAUCUUCUGCAUCUAAGUGCCCUGUCUGUAUUGAAGUUUUAGGAGGCCCUAAGGAAACCUGCUUGGGCAUUCUGAUUCCAUGAUUACAUUUGUGCUGCCAGAAAACAUUUCCCAUUGCAUUUUAGUGAUGGAUAUUUAAAGAAAACCAAUUACUGUAACUCCCUUAAAUAAAAACAUAUUUAAAAUUUUUUGGAUUAAAUAAACAAUAAUUGACUUUAAAACUAGAUUGGAAAUUAUCCUUUUGUUAGGAAAGACAUCACAGCACUUGCCAGGUUAACGAUGGUUGUCUUUAUGCCCAGAUAGGUAUAAAGACUUGUAAUUUUUUUAAACAAAGCCUUGCAUUUUUUUCAGGAGGAAAAACCAGGAGAGGAAAUAAUUGACAAUGAAAUGAAAGAUCAUCAAAGUGAAAUGUAGGAUAACAAGAAAAACUAGCAUGUUUUAUGGAGGCAGUAUUUUAUUUUGUUUAGUAUGUUCAACAGACAUUUACAGAUGAACUAAAUUGAGUCUUUUUAAUUAUUUGAGGAGGUGAGCUAUAAUUUAAAUAGUGCCACCUUUUAAAGUAGUAUUUCUCCUUUGGACAUCCAGAAGACUUAAUAUUUUCUUCAUUGAGGGGGAAAAUGUACAACAAAACUCUUUGAAAAUACCAGUGUUGGAUUCAAGUUUGUUCUGCUUUCCUUCAUAGCUACUGGCAUAUUGUAGGUGGUUGACUUGAUUUUGUCUUUUUAUGAUUCAUACUAUAAAAUCUCACUAGAGCAGCUUUUCCAGGGGGUGGGUUACACUUCAGUUCCAAAUUGUCAGGUUCCCUGACACCGUCUUUCUACAGAGCUCUUUAAAUACAGUACAAAAAUGUGUGACGCUAAAUACGUUUCUUUAUCCUAUCUAGACAAGUCACAAUACUGUAAACCUCUUCAACCCUGAGCGUUUGUCAUUGUACAAAUCAAUUGUCCGUGCUUUCCUUUCAUGCACUUAUGUAUUAAUGUGUCACUUUUUGACUAGAGGUGUGCUUUUGACACUUAACCUAUUUUCUGUUGAAUAUAAUAAGUGUGAAAUGUAACUAAUAGUUCUUAAAAUGUUAAAUGAACAGUAAAUGUUCAGUGGCGCACUUCACAUUCAACUUAAGCAUGAUAAAUCUAUUUGGAGUAGAGAAAUGAGAUUGAUUACCAUAUAUUCUAGAACCAGCAGAAAACUAUGUAGUUUCAGUUUUUUGAGCUGCAUAUUCUGGUUUCUUUUUUUUUUUUUUUUUUUAAA